rnacentral:sRNA from 1 species
CUUUUGUUCUGUUCUUUACAAAUGUUUUCUU